rnacentral:SRP_RNA from 1 species
CAACAGGCUUUUGCAACAGGAAUCGGUGAACCGUGUCAGGAUCGGAAGAUAGCAGCACUAAGUCGAGCCCCCUGUGUGCGGAAACAACCUGUUGGGU